ACCAAAAUCCUGAUGGGGAUUUCCUGGAUUUCUCCCUAUGACGACACAGUCGUUUGGACUACGUUUCCCAGAAAUCUAUGCGAAAGAAUUCCCGGAACCUAUGUAUGGAGAUUUCUACACUUCCUGGAUUUGUGUCUAGCUUCCGGCAGUAAUGUAUUCGAGGAAGAAGCUAAGUCAGCCGGACAGCCAUGUGGAUGGGGCGCUGCUAUUCACCUCCAGAUCCACAACAUGAGAAGUAUGAGUGUGAGUCGAGUCUGUGACAGAAAUAUUAGCCUUGGAUGAAGAUAAGCAAAAACAUUUGUCAACUCUUAACAUUUGAUGGUUUCUUUACAGUAUGGACUGUCUGAUGUACCUGAAGGUAUGCAAAGUAGGAAAACAUUUUCUACACUCUGCACACUUGGAUGGAUUGUCUUAAGAAUGGAAAGUUUGGUAUUGUCUAAGGCAUGAAGAUGAAGAAAAACAUUUGCCACACUCUUAGGAUUUUACUGAAGUAUGAACUCUCUUGUGUCUCCAAAGGGAUGAGCUAUUACGAAAUGCUUCAUGACAUUCUUUACACUUGUAUGGUUUUUCUCCAGUAUGAAUUGCUUGAUGUCCCCGAAGACUCCUAGAACAAGAAAACCGUUUGUCACAUUCUACACACUUAUAUGGACUGUCUUCAGAGUGAAUUGUUUGAUGUCGUCUAAAAAACAAGUAUGAAUAAAAACAUCUGCCACAUUCCUCACACUUGUAGGGAUAGUCUUCAGAGUGAAUUGAUUGAUGUCGUCUAAGGGAUGAUGAUGAGGCAAAACAUCUUCCACAUUUUUUACACUGGUAGGAUUUCUCUGCAUUAUGGACUCUCUUGUGUUUCCAAAGGGCUGAGUAUUUACGAAAGGCUUUGUGACAUUCUUCACACUUGUAUGGUUUCUCUCCAGUAUGAAUUGCUUGAUGUUCCCGAAGACUCCUAGAACAGGAAAACCAUUUACCACACUCUGAACACUUAUAGGGACUAUCUUCAGAAUGGAUUGAUUGAUGUCGUCUAAGGGAUGAAGAUGAGGAAAAACAUUUGCCACACUCCUCACACUUGUAUGGUUUCUCUCCAGUAUGGACCGUCUGAUGUUCUUGAAGGUGUGCAAAGUAGGAAAAUCUUUUGCCACACUCUGCACACUUGUAGGGAUUGUCUUCAGAGUGGAUUGUUUGAUGUCGUUUAAGCGAUGAAGGUGAGCAAAAACACUUGCCACACUCCUCACACUUGUAGGGUUUCCUUGUAGUAAGAGCUGCCCUGUUCCCAAUGAGGAAAGCAGGCUUAGUAAAUCCUUUUCCACUCAGUUCACACUGGUAGGAUUUCUCUGCAAUAUGACCUCUCAUAUGUCUCCAAAAGGAUGAGUGAUAACGAAAGGCUUUGUGACAUUCUUCACACUUGUACAAUUUCUCUCCAGUAUGGAUUAUUUGAUGGACUUGAAGACGUAAAGAACAAAAAAACCUUUUUCCACAUUCUUCACACUUGUAGGGAUUGUUUCCCCAAUGAAUUCGUUGAUGUUGCUUAAGGUAUGAAGGAAAAUAAAAUGCUUUGCCACAUUCUUCACACUUGUAUGGCUUCUCUCCAGAAUGAAUUCUUUGAUGUUGCUUCAGGAGUGGAGGAUAGUAAAAUGCUCUGCCACAUUUUUCACACUUGUAGGAUUUUUCAUCAGUAUGAGUUUUCUGGUGUAUAAAAAGUGAUGAGCGAGUAUUAAAGGUCUUAAGACAUCCUUUACACAUGUAGGGUUUGUCUCCAGUAUGAAGUCUCUGGUGUAUAGAUAGGGUUUUUUGAGAACUAAGGGUCUUUCCACAUUCUUCACACUUGUAAAGUUUCUUCCCUGUAUGAAUUCUCUGGCGUUGAAUAAGCAGGGAUUUACAAUCAAUGGACUUGCUGUAAUUGUUACAGUCAUUGGGUGCUGUUCCUGUUAAGCAAAAGUUGAGAUAUGAACAAAAUUAAGAAAUAUUUUCAUUCUUAUAAUGCUUACUUUUAUAUGGAGAUAUUUACUCAUACAUAUUGAAGCAUCAAUGAGAAACUACAGUAUAGUUCACAACCUAUAGGCACUGAGCAUGAAAUAUAAAAUAUUGUAAGUAGAAAUAAUCUAUACUCUUAAUAAGGGCACAACCAAAUAGAAUAUAGACAUAAUGGCAUAUUAUUAAAGUUUUAAUAGCUAAGUAAGUUGUAAGAGCAUUUUACUAGGAGAAAUAAGCCCCUUAAAGAAUAGAAAUGUUAUAUGUCCAGACAUCCCUGAAAUUAUAAAAUAUCCAAGCCUGUAAAAGAAAAAGUUUAUUGUGAUUGUGUCAAAAUACAAAACUUUUAUCUUCCACAUGGAGUUUUAUUUUGGAAGGUACAAAAGAUUUGCUGAACAAGAAGUAGAUAGAUGGUCCACAACAAGGCUAAAUAAUAUAGCUCAAAAAUUCAGGACAGUACUUCAUGUUUUAUUUGAAUGACAAGAAAA